CCUACGGGAGGCAGCAGUGAGGAAUAUUGGUCAAUGGGCUUACGCCUGAACCAGCCAAGUCGCGUGAGGGAAGACUGCCCUAUGGGUUGUAAACCUCUUUUGUCAGGGAGCAACGCCGGCUACGUGUAGCCGGACUGAGAGUACCUGAAGAAAAAGCAUCGGCUAACUCCGUGCCAGCAGCCGCGGUCAUACGGAGUAUGCGAGCGGUAUCCGGAGUUAUAGGGUUUAAAGGGUGCGUAGGAGGAAGGCCUAGUAAGCGGUAAAAUCGCGGGGCUCAACCUAGCGCAGGCGUUGGAACUGGCGUUUUUGAGUGGGCGAGAAGUAUGCGGAAAGCGUGGGGUAGCGGUGAAAUGCAUAGAUAUCACGGAGGACUCCGAUUGCGGAGGCAGCAUACCGGGGCCCAACUGACGCUGAAGCACGAAAGCGUGGGUAUCGAACAGGAUUAGAUACCCGUGUAAGUC
rnacentral:rRNA from 1 species